UAUGACGAGUCUGACGACGACGCUGCGUGCAGGAUGACGGCCCGCGGGUUGUAAACUUCUUUUCUCGAAGAAGAAACUCUGACGGUAUUCUAGGAAUAAACAUCGGCUUACUCCUGUGCCAGCCGCCGCCGUAAUACCGAGGAUGCCAGUGUUAUUCAGAAUGAUUGGGCGUAAAGCGUCUGUAGGCUGUAUAGAAAGUCUUUUGUUAAAUACCUUGGCUCAACCUAGAUCCAGCAAAGGAAACUUUUAUACUUUAGGUAAGUUGAAGUUCCGGGAAUUCCCGGUGGAGCGGUGAAAUGCGUAGAUAUCGGGAGGAACCCCCAUAUGGCGAAGGCACCUGUACUGGGCUUUACCUGACGCUCAGAGACGAAAGCUAUGAGGAGUGAGUUAGGAGUUAUGAUAUCCCUACGUAAUUUUACGCCGUAAAUCGAUGGAAAAUGCACCUGCCGAGGCGACAAUACUAUCGAUGCCGGUGGUCAAGCUAAACGCGUGAAGU
rnacentral:rRNA from 1 species